rnacentral:rRNA from 1 species
CCUACGGGAGGCUGCAGUGGGGAAUAUUGGACAAUGGGGGCAACCCUGAUCCAGCCAUGCCGCGUGUGUGAAGAAGGCCCUCGGGUUGUAAAGCACUUUCAGUGAGGAAGAACGCCUGGUGGUUAAUACCCAUCAGGAAAGACAUCACUCACAGAAGAAGCACCGGCUACACUCCGUGCCAGCAGCCGCGGUAAUACGGAGGGUGCGAGCGUUAAUCGGAAUUACUGGGCGUAAAGCGCGCGUAGGUGGCUUGAUAAGCCGGUUGUGAAAGCCCCGGGCUCAACCUGGGAACGGCAUCCGGAACUGUCAAGCUAGAGUGCAGGAGAGGAAGGUAGAAUUCCCGGUGUAGCGGUGAAAUGCGUAGAGAUCGGGAGGAAUACCAGUGGCGAAGGCGGCCUUCUGGACUGACACUGACACUGAGGUGCGAAAGCGUGGGUAGCAAACAGGAUUAGAUACCCGGGUAGUC